AUUGGUAUAGAUGUAGUAGCAAUUUCUAGAAUUACAGGCCAUUUGAUAGAAAACUGUGUUAAAGGUUACUUUUAUAACGGUUCUGGUGUCGUGGCGUUAUUUGUGCGUAGCUACGAUGUGUAAUAUUUCUCCAGGUGAGAAAUUCUAACCUAACGUUUGGCAUGGUACUCCAUUGAAAGUUUUUAUUGCUUUGCUUACGACCGCUACCAUCAUUGACAAUUGCUCGUUGUAUGUCUUCAGAGUAGAGAGUCUUUGACAGAGAAACUGUACUUUAAAUCAAACUGAAACUGUCCUGGUAGUUCAGAUGAAACCUCAAUGAAAUUGUCACUCUCUAGCUUAUUAAUUGCGGCUUCUGCUUGACUGUGGCCAUCUCAUGUGAUAGUGUUUAAGAAUUGUGCUUUUUUUUGUGACUAGUAUUCAUGAUGAUCUGAUGAAUGGUUUCAGGUGAUCGCGUCUUCUCUUGGUCACCCAUGGACUCUCAGCUUGCCACCGAGGGUUGACACCAGGAAGUUGAUGCUAACAGUGGAAGUGUUUGCAGUAUGGAAUAUACCAGGUCCAGUGUGGAUAUUGAAUGAGGUCUGAUUUGUAUUAAGAUUCACAGUUUUAAAGGAGAGACUUGAGUAAGCUAAAGUUUCUUAAUGCAGUGCUCUAGACACGUCCCAGGUGUGCAAGUGAGAUUCGCCUGAAUGGUUACUGCUGAUUCUGUUCCAGUGCACUAUUUUGAAUGAAGAUAUGAAACAAUA